CCUGCAGAGCUCUUGUCAGGAGGUGGGGAACAUGGCUGUCCAUUCCUCCCAGAGUUAUUGUGACAGCUAAGUAAGCUCUGGUUGGAAAAGCAGUUGGCAAAGCCAUGGCACAGAAACAGUUAAAAUAUCGUUGGUGAGUCUUGGUCGAGGUGGCGCCUCUAUUUAUGGCAAACAGUUUGAAGAUGAGCUUCAUCCAGACCUGAAGUUCACUGGGGCUGGGAUUCUUGCAAUGGCCAAUGCAGGACCAGACACCAACGGCAGCCAGUUCUUCGUGACCUUGGCCCCCACACAAUGGCUGGACGGCAAACAUACCAUUUUUGGCCGCGUGUGCCAGGGCAUAGGGAUGGUGAAUCGAGUGGGCAUGGUGGAAACAAACUCCCAGGACCGGCCUGUGGAUGACGUGAAGAUCCUGAAGGCUUACCCUUCUGGGUAGACGGAGUGCUGUCUCCAGUCCACCCCGGUCCUAGUGAGCUGUUGUCCGGAUGACAUGGGGGGCCGCGUGACUCAGCGUCACACAUACCUACUCUGAACCAGAGGGGUUGUCUCUGGGGACAUUUGUAUUCCGGCCGACAGUUACAGACUUGAACAGCAGGCGCGUUGAUGAGCGGGUUAACUGCGUA
rnacentral:lncRNA from 1 species